UAUCUCUCCCUCCUACUUUAUAUCCCCCAUGAGCCCCCCUAAGGAGCCUUGGGUUUUGUUUAGUUAAAAGUUAGCCAUCGCUACUACUUCGUGUAAUCGCGUGUGUCGGUUAGACCACCUGUUUUACCGCUUUCGGAACCCCAACUUAUCGUCUCGUUGAGACAUUGGUUUGAUAUAGUAUAUUCACAAUUUUAGAUUGCAUCCGCUAUUUAUCUUGUUCUUGCUUGUUCUUCGAUUGCUUGCAGGAACAAAGACCUUCGUGGUCAGGUUGAUCGUGCCCCCGCGUGAUCAAUAACCCUUUGGAGUUGGUGUAUCGAUUGCUAAGGCGCUGCCUCCUAGGCCGUAGUCGGAUCGUCAACGUCACCUCCUACCCAAAUCGAGAGUUACCAAUCUCAUCGAAAGAUCGGGCCACCCGUCCCAAAUCACGUGGUAUCAGAGCUUAAGGUCGCUCGGUGAGAUUUUUCCACUUUAUCCGUAGUUUAGAUCUGUUUUUACCUAUCGUCCAGAAAAAGCCAAACAAAAAUUAGAAUUAGUUACCUUGUCCUAGAACCAAUCUGAGCCUUGCAAUUUUCACUUUAGUAUUUGCAUUGUUGAAUCUUUGUUGCAUUAAUCGUGUCGAGUUGCUGGAUUAGAUUGGAUCGUUUUUCAGAUUUUUUCUACUAGAUCGAACUUGCUUUUGGUUUUCUUGUUCUUCGUGUGACGCAGGUUUCCUUCAUCAAUCUUCCGCCGUCAAACUUCCUGCCACACCACCGCCAUAAUCUCCCGCCGCCACCAUAUCUUCCCCCGAAUCCCUCUUCGAGUCCUACACCGAGUCCCUAUUUGAGUCCUACACCGAGUCCCUCAUCGAGUCCUACACCGAGUCCCUAUUUGAGUCCUACACCGAGUCCCUCAUCGAGUCCUACACCGAGUCCCUCUUCGAGUCCUACACCGAGUACCUCGUCCAGUCCUACACCGUGUCCCUCUUCGAGUUCUACAUCGAGUCGGCAAGUAAUAGUUUUCAGCCGCGAGUUCGAGUCCGAGUCCUAUAAGGAGUGCUUUUGGAAAGUGUUUCAUCAUAGAUCGAAUUUUGUUUAGAGAUCAAGUUGUUUGGAAAGUUGAAAAAAAAAGAAAGGAAAGAAAAAAAAGGAAAGAAAUAAAGAAAAAAAAACGAAAAAAAAAGAGAAAGAGUUCGAGUCAGUUUCGGACCCGAGUCCGACUAUUUCCAGGCGCACCGCGUCACGGUUGUGUCCAGGUUUUGCCUCAAGCGAGCCCUCACCAAUCGUGAAGCCACCGGAAGGGUGGCCGAGUGGAGGAUGGAGCUGUCGGAGUUCGAUCUGCACUUUACCACCACCAAGAGCAUCAAGAGCGCGGACCUAGCGGAUUUUGUCGCGGAAUGGACUUCGACCGGCGUGGAAGAAGAGGAGCCAGAGACCAGCCUGCCCGGCAAGCUGGACGAAGACCACUGGGUUUUGUACUUCAACGGAGCGUUCAGCCUGCAAGGGGCUGGCGCCGGGAUCGUCAUCGAGUCGCCUACGGGCGAUCAGCUGAAGUUCGCCAUCCAGCUCGACUUCCCCAACUCCACAAACAACACGGCCG
rnacentral:lncRNA from 1 species